UACAGAGGUCCCAAGCGUUGUUCGGAUUCACUGGGCGUAAAGGGUGCGUAGGUGGUUAGGUAAGUCCGAUGUGAAAUCUCCAGGCUUAACCUGGAAAUGGCAUUGGAUACUAUUUAGCUUGAGGAGUGGAGGGGGGACUGGAAUUCUCGGUGUAGCAGUGAAAUGCGUAGAUAUCGAGAGGAACCCCAGUGGCGAAGGCGAGUCCCUGGACACUUCCUGACACUGAGGCACGAAAGCUAGGGGAGCAAACAGG
rnacentral:rRNA from 1 species